AUUGAACGCUGGCGGCAUGCCUUACACAUGCAAGUCGAACGGCAGCACGGGAGCAAUCCUGGUGGCGAGUGGCGAACGGGUGAGUAAAGUAUCGGAACGUGCCCAGUCGUGGGGGAUAACGUAGCGAAAGUUACGCUAAUACCGCACACGAUCUAUGGAUGAAAGCGGGGGAUCGCAAGACCUCGCGCGAUUGGAGCGGCCGAUAUCAGAUUAGGAAGUUGGUGGGGUAAAGGCUCACCAAGCCGACGAUCUGUAGCUGGUCUGAGAGGACGACCAGCCAAACUGGGCCUGGGACACGGCCCAGACUCCUACGGGAGGCAGCAGUGGGGAAUUUUGGACAAAGGGCGAAAGCCUGAUCCAGCCAUGCCGCGUGCAGGAUGAAGGCCUUCGGGUUGUAAACUGCUUUUGUACGGAACGAAAAGGUUUGGCCUAAUAAGCUGAGCUCAUGACGGUACCGUAAGAAUAAGCACCGGCUAACUACGUGCCAGCAGCCGCCGUAAAAC
rnacentral:rRNA from 1 species